rnacentral:lncRNA from 1 species
GCUGAUGGCGGUCCUCAUGGCGGUGGCGGUCCUCAUGGUGAUGAUCGUCAUAAUCUUCAUACUUUUUCUUGGAAGAAGGGCGAGGAAGUUCAGGGUCACGCAAUCGGCGAUCUGGAGACAGCCUCUCAGGUCGGCGGGGGUAAUCAUGGUCUGGCGAUGGCCUCUCAGAUCGGCGGCGGUGGUCAAGGUCUGGCGAUGGCCUCUCAGCUCGGCGGCGGUGGUCAAGAUCUGGCGAUGGUCUCUCAGGUCGGCGGUGGUCAUCAACGCGGUGGUCAAGGUCUGGGGAAGG